rnacentral:lncRNA from 1 species
AGCUAGAGGGCUGGAACCAGAUUCAACCUGGCCCAGGACCCAAUGUCGGUGUCCCGCUGGGUCGGCUGGCAGGGCUGCAGCUCUGGAAGCACCAGCUUAGGCCCACAGUACGUGAGGUUGAGGUCGCAAAGCGGCGGGACAGCCUCUGGAUUGGACAGCACUGCACCUGGGAUGAGAACCCCCGUCCCUCCAAGUGAUGGCGGCAGGUGAGGGCGGCAUAGGAGCAGAGGAGAAGGGGCGGCUCGGACAUGCGCAGCAACUCGCCCUGGGCGCCUGGGCGCGAGCCCACGUCGUCGUUUUGAGCCCAUAGUCGAAGAUCACGUGCACGUCAAACCUCACGAACUUGGCCAGCACUUCAUCAGCAAGGUUCAUUGAUUGGUGGCAGCAGGGGCAGGCGGGAGGGGCACCACAGAUAACGUUUUCAGCCCGCUCAGCCCCAGAAAGACACGUGAUGACUUGCAGCCCUCGCUCCCCCCGCCCCCGCGCUCACUGGCCACUAUCCGGGAAAGGAACGUGCUUUGCCCAGCCUUCUGGUCGGGAGGAGCUGGGCAGAGGCAAAUGGGGUACACAGCCGUUUUUCAGAAGUUGUCCUUGAUUCUCAGCAGGUUCCUCUCGAAGGGUACUCACACCAUCGGACUCUGUGCCCAAGAAUGGGCGCCCAGGUGGCAGUGGGAGCUACGUUCUUCUGCCCCAUGCCCCACCCCUCUUCCCCUGACCCUAAAGGUGGAUGGGCCUGAAGACAGGAGACAAGUGUCCAGAUCAAGGCUUUGGCUACUUUCCAUUUCAUUGACUCGACUUAGGAGGUCCGAGAAUCCAGGAUUAAUGAUAUCUGCCAAGACAUGGCAUUCAAUGGCAUGGUGA